rnacentral:lncRNA from 1 species
CAAGAGGUCGACGAGCCAGGACUGGGACUGGGACGGCGGCGAAGCGGCACGCCGGCACGCACACCAGACGUACGCCACCUGUCGCGGUGGCCCGUGGCCCUCUCCUCUCUCGCGCGCCAUCACGUCCCGCAGCUGGCGCCUGGCAGCACGCAGUGCAGCCUGGCCCGAACCGAGGCCAGCCGCUCCUUUGAGCGUGCGGCGCGAGUCGCGCGCACAGAUCCACCGGUCAUUCGCUCGAUUUUGUUUUCUUCUUGCUGCUGCUUGUCUAUCUAAUCUAGGCCUUGUUUAGUUCCAAAAUUUUUUGGGAAAUGGACACUGUAGCACUUUCGUUUGUAUGUGACAAAUACUGUCCAAUCAUGGACUAACUAGGCUUAAAAGAUUCAUCUCGUCAAUUCCGACCAAACUGUGUAAUUAAUUUUUAUUUUCAUCUAUAUUUAAUACUCCAUGCAUGCGUCUAAAGAUUCGAUGUGACGGGGAAUCUUAAAAAUUUUGUAAAAUUUUUCAGGAACUAAACAAGGCCCUAAGAGAUCGAGUAUGGAUCUACGAUCUGCGAAAGCGGUGGACGCUGCUGCCAUGCCCAUGCUUCAGUACUGCGACAGGCUGUUGUUGUUGGCUUCGCCAAAAAAAAAAAAGGAAAAAAAAGGAAGAGGAAGUGCAUUUCCACUUUUCCAGCAACGAAAUCAAUCACCAAUGUCAAGCAAACUUAUGUCAUCGAACAUUAGCACGUACGUAGUACCUUGAACCCAAACCUAUGGCACCGAACAGUAGCACGAAGUAGUGCUAUAAACCAGGGAGAUUUGACAUUUGAGCUCUACUUGUUGAGAUCAAACACUAAACAAUGCACGCCGACCACUAAAUCACGUACCACGUACUAAAUAAUUGGUAGCACAGCACCCACAAAAUAGCGGCUGCUAUACUUUUAGCGAUUCUCUACCGAUAUCGCUACAAGAUAGCGGACUAGUAAAGGUAGCGUGUUGAAAUUUAGCAGCCGCUCAUGCACUUAGCGUCCGUGUUCGUUUUUCUUAUCGGUUAUUUUUUCUCGCAAUAAAUCAGUCAGUUAAUAAUAAUUUUAGCAACAAGUAAUAGCGUGGAUAAUUCCAACAACAACAAAAAAAGAUAGUGACGUAGAUGAUGAUAAAGAAUGAUGGGAUGAUAAUAUUUUUUUCAAUGAUAUAAGAACUUAAUGAUAUUUUGUCUCCACGUAAUUUCUUUACAUUAUUUUUUAUAUGCUUGCUUGUGAUUCUAUGACAUUAAAUUUAGUAACUAGGGCCCUGUUUAGUUC